ACUGACCCUAGAGGCAUUACAGGUGUGGCUUCUGUGUGUCACAUGUGUCAGUAGGUGGCAGAGAAGAGAGAGGCUAUGUCUACCCUCAGUGUUCUGACCUAUGAAUGUCUGAUUGGUUAGCAGCCUAACAUA
ensembl:snoRNA LOC120094909 small nucleolar RNA SNORA17